rnacentral:rRNA from 1 species
UGGGGAAUAUUGGGGCAAUGGGGGCGCAAGCCUGACCCAGCAACGCCGCGUGAAGGAUGAAGGUUUUCGGAUUGUAAACUUCUUUUAAGAGGGACGAUAAUGACGGUACCUCUUGAAUAAGCCCCGGCUAACUACGUGCCAGCAGUCGCGGUAAUACGUAGGGGGCAAGCGUUAUCCGGAUUUACUGGGUGUAAAGGGCGUGUAGGCGGAGAUGCAAGUUGGGAGUGAAAUCCAUGGGCUCAACCCAUGAACUGCUCUCAAAACUGUAUCCCUUGAGUAUCGGAGAGGCAAGCGGAAUUCCUAGUGUAGCGGUGAAAUGCGUAGAUAUUAGGAGGAACACCAGUGGCGAAGGCGGCUUGCUGGACGACAACUGACGCUGAGGCGCGAAAGCGUGGGGAGCAAACAGGAUUAGAUACCCUGGUAGU